AUGUGCUAGGGGCCCUCGUGCACUAAAUGUGUAUUUUGUCCGUUUUGACCAUAGAUUUAAUAUUUAAAAAACAAAUAAUGUAAUUACUCUUUCAGUCACACCCCUCCCUGCUCCCUCUCACAAUGGUUCAUUCCAGCUGCGCUGUCCGAGCUACUAUCGCUAGUGUGACGUCUCUUGCUUAUUAGACUUGUUAUGAUGCGGCGCAGACAGUGACACACGCAGGCAAGUCACAUGAAAAGUCAGGGAAACAAAAACGGAAAGAAAGGAAGGAAAGAGAAGACAGAGAACGCCAAAGUCGACAGUAUGUCACACAGUUUUUCAAAAAGAAAGAAUCAGCGGCUGCUGCACACCCACGUCCUCCUUCCCCCACGUCCCCGUCUUAAUCAGCCGAACAAGGUGAGCCUGAGCGCGAAACUUCGCGAAGAUUUUAGCCUCUAAACACGUCUUAUCUACUGUAUUCGCCACAUGAUGAUAACUUUCCAAAACAAAAAGUAAUCUACACGCUUCUAAAACGACAAAAUCAGUUUGCCGUGUCGUGUGUUCUGUGAAGUGACAGUGCUGCUGCUACGAUCGAUGCUGUCAAACUUGACGUUCUUAAUAUGAAUAAAAUGCCCCAGAAAAUAAUAAUAUAAAAUUGAAUAAAACGUGUCUCUACUGUA